CAGGUCUCAUCAACGGUAGUAAUUCCACCAGUUUCAGUUGUCAUCAACGGGGGAAAUUUGGAAAAAGACACACAAACCCAGACACCAACAUCUGGAAACCUGGGAGAAAGCCAUGUGCAGACGAAGGCAGAAACUGGGGUAAUGCUUCUACAAGCUAAGGAACACCAAAUGCUCCUGCAAGCUAAGGAACGCCAAAGAUUGCCAGCAAACCACCAGAAGCUAGGGGAGAGGAAUGGCACAGAUUCUUCCUCACAGUCCACAGAAGGAACCAAACCUACCAACACCUUUAUAUGGGAUGUCUAGCCUCUAGAACUGUAAAAUAAUAAAUUUAUGUUUGGCAGUCCUGGGAAACUAAUACAAUCAGUAUUCCAGUUGGGAGGUAAUUUUGAUUUUAAAUUUUAUUAUUUAUUAUUUUAUUAUACCUUAUAUUAAGUAAUUGUCAUCAUCUUCAUUCCCAAAAAGUCUAUGAGAAACAAUAGUUUUUUUUGAUGCAGUCCUAAAUUAAGGUCAAGUGAGGAAAUUAGGAUCACUGAGCCUUCAGAAGUAGCAUUUUAACAAGCU
rnacentral:lncRNA from 10 species